UACGUAGGCAGCAAGCGUUGUUCGGAGUUACUGGGCGUAAAGGGUGCGUAGGUGGUGAGGUAAGUUUGAUGUGAAAUCUCCGGGCUCAACCCGGAAAUGGCAUUGAAUACUAUCUUGCUAGAGUGCAGAAGGGGCAACUGGAAUUCUCGGUGUAGCGGUGAAAUGCGUAGAUAUCGAGAGGAACACCUGCGGCGAAGGCGGGUUGCUGGGCUGACACUGACGCUGAGGCGCGAAAGCCAGGGGAGCGAACGGG
rnacentral:rRNA from 1 species